rnacentral:rRNA from 1 species
GACGAACGCUGGCGGCGUGCUUAACACAUGCAAGUCGAACGGUGAUGCUCCAGCUUGCUGGAGUGGAUCAGUGGCGAACGGGUGAGUAACACGUGAGCAACCUGCCCCAGACUCUGGGAUAAGCGCUGGAAACGGCGGCUAAUACUGGAUACGAAACUGGCCCGCAUGGGCAUGGUUUGGAAAGUUUUUCGGUUUGGGAUGGGCUCGCGGGCUAUCAGCUUGUUGGGGAGGUAUGGGCUCACCAAGGCGACGACGGGUAGCCGGCCUGAGAGGGCGACCGGCCACACUGGGCCUGAGACACGGCCCAGACUCCUACGGUAGGCAGCAGUGGGGAAUAUUGCACAAUGGGCGAAAGCCUGAUGCAGCGACGCCGCGUGAGGGAUGACGUCCUUCGGGUUGUAAACCUCUUUCAGCAGGGAAGAAGCGAAAGUGACGGUACCUGCAGAAGAAGCACCGGCUAACUACGUG